AGACUGCUUAGCCUGAGGAUAACUCAAGAGUCCAGCAAGGAGGGCUGGGAUUCACACUGAGCACAUGUGUCUGCCUCGGCUUGGGCUGUUUUCUGGGAUGGACUACCUGAAAUUCAUCGCGUCCACUUCCAUAUGUGUGAAAGUGCAUGAGGAGGACAUGGAAUGAUGCUACAUAUCUUGCUACAAAUAUGUAUAAACAGUUGCUAUUAAAGCAGUGUUGUUGAGUAUAUGCUUUUCUAGUAAGAUCAGAUUACCCUGAGAUUCUACCAUACACCGAUUGGAAUUGAAAAGAUCAUGAACUCAAGUGACAGCACAUGGUGACAAGGGUGUGGAGAAAGAGUUACACUCCACUAUUGCUGGUGGGAUUGCAAACUGGUACAACCACUCUGGAAAUCAAUCUGGCAGUACCUCAGAAAAUUGGAAAUAAUUCUACAUGAAGACCCAGAUAUUCUACUACUGGGCAUAUACACAAAAGAAGAUGCACAAUAACACAAGGACACAUGCUCCACUAUGUCCAAAGCUGCCAUAUUUGUAUUAGCCAGAAGCUGGAAACCAGAUGUUCUUCAACCAAGGAAUGAAUGUAGAAAAAAUGUGGUUCAACAACACAAUGGAAUACUGCUCAUCUAUUAAAACUGAGGACAUCAUGAAAUUUGCAGGCAAAUGGAGAGAACUAGAAAAUGUCAUCCUGAGUGAGGAACCCAGGCUCAAAAGGACUUACAUGUUAUGUCCUCACUGAUAAGUAGUUAUUUGGCAAAAAGAUCAGAAUAUCCAUGACCACAUAAAAUUUAAUUAG
rnacentral:lncRNA from 1 species